rnacentral:rRNA from 1 species
UACGUAGGGUGCGAGCGUUAAUCGGAAUUACUGGGCGUAAAGCGUGCGCAGGCGGUUCGUUAAGUUCGUUGUGAAAGCCCCGGGCUCAACCUGGGAACCUGCAAUGGAAACUGGCGGGCUUGAAUGCGGCAGAGGGGGUGGAAUUCCGCGUGUAGGCAGUGAAAUGCGUAGAGAUGUGGAGGAACACCGAUGGCGAAGGCAGCCCCCUGGGCUAACACUGACGCCUCGAGGCACGAAAGCGUGGGGAGCAAACAGG